UACAGAGGAGGCAAGCGUUGUUCGGAAUCACUGGGCUUAAAGCGCGUGUAGGCGGCCCGUCAAGUACCUUGUGAAAUCCCUCGGCUCAACCGGGGAAUGGCUGGGUAUACGGGCAGGCUAGAGUCCGGUAGGGGAGACUGGAAUUCCUGGUGUAGCGGUGAAAUGCGCAGAUAUCAGGAGGAACACCGGUGGCGAAAGCGGCGCGCUGGACCUCUUCUGACGCUGAGGCGCGAAAGCCAGGGGAGCAAACGGG
rnacentral:rRNA from 1 species